rnacentral:rRNA from 1 species
AACCUGUUUGUUAAUCGAUAAUCCACGUUAAUUUUCACUUUUAUUUAAAUUUUAUAUACCUCCAUCCAUAGAAUUUAUUUCCAUAAUUUAAUUCAAAAAAGAUAAACUCUUAUAAGUUAGGUAAAGGUGUAGACUAUAUAAAAGCUUAAAAUGGGUUACAAUAAAAAAAAUUUAAGAAAUAUUUAAAUAACUUUAUAUAAGAAAGAGGAUUUAUUAGUAUAGUUUAGUUGUAAUAAUAAUAAAACUUGAAAAAUAAUAAAAAUGUGU